UUUCAAAGCUGCCACCUCAACUGAUUAUUGAUUAGCUUAACCUUUGUGCUGAUGAAGGCCACCUUCUCCUCAGCCGACCUCAACCUCUAAACAUUCAGAGCUCCGCCUGUCCAGCUCUUUGUGCUGGAUCUAAUUUCCAGUUUGAUGACAUCAGGCCACACUCGAGAUCAUCAAGUGUGGAUCGUAGCUGAGAGGCCCUGAAACCUGACAGGAAUGAAAAGGAGAGACUUCCUAAACACUUUGUGUCGUCAUGCUGUUUUCAAAGAAAACAGACAUUAGAAAACUGAGGAUUACUUCGUGUUCAUUGGGCAGCUUGUUGUUCCUUACUUCCUGCUCCUCUGUAACUCUACCAUGACCAUAACCUCCAAAAUGAUCAUCAUGUUUCAUUCAAUCUGCGACCAGAAACCCAUCACCUGAGAAGGACGCUCAUUUUCUCUUAGAAGGCGAGCUCUAUACAAUCUGAGCAGAGGAGUUCCCCCCCUGGACAUUACAGAGAAUUCAGGUCAGGGUGAUGAGGGUGAUGAUACUGCUCCAAAAACAUUCCUCUGAUGCCAUCGCAGCAAUAUGCAGAGUCGGCGUUUGAAGUUCUCAAGCCUUCACACUGUCAGACAUGGAACUGCUUGUUCGCUUCGUCCUCAUCAGAUCAUAAGUUCUGAUGAGAGAAACUGUCAGCGCUGUCAAACCAGAGGACAUAGAGGAGGCUUUAUUCCCCAAGAGGAUGCUCACAGGAAGCUGGAGGGGGCAGGGCAUAUCUACAGUCAUGCACCUGAAAACACAACAAGGGAAACCAAACAGAUUCCUGCCUUUGUACGAAAACAGUCUGAAAGGUGAAGUAGUGAAGAGGGUUUUACACACUGAAGCAGUGAUUGGUGGAAUGGAGUCAGGUGAGUGUUUGGGAGGGAAACAGGGCAGGUGUUAGAGGAUGAGGUAACGUGUAAACUGAAAAAAGUGUUAACUUCAUCCUACUCCUUUUUGAGCAUAAACAUUGUGUAGACAUAGAGAUUUUGAAGAAAACUUGAUGUUUUUAAGUUUUUCUUUUCCCUUGUUAUAUCAAUUAUAUUUACAAGUUUGAAAUAACAUCAUUCUAUCUAUAUGUGUGUGACGUUGACUUUUUUACUGAACAGAAUACAUUUUAUCUUGCACUCUGGACACAAUAAGUCAACACUUUUGACUCAGUCUUACAGUCACCACAUGUUCUUAAUGAUUCCUUACAUUAAUAAUAAUUCAUUUUAGAAGAUAU